AUGGAGGACUGGGUGUACUACUCCCUCUCCAUCACCCUGUGCCUCACCCUGUCCCUUGUAUUCUCAUUCCUCUGCAAAUGCAAGGCGGCGGGCUCGUCGUCGUUCCUCCCGCCUGGGCCGACCUCGCUGACGGCUUUCGGCCCGCUGCUGCUGCUCGCCUGGACAAGCGUCAACAUCGAGUCGGUAGUCCGCGUGGCACGUUCAUGGUACGGCCCCGUCUUCACGCUCUACCUCCUCCCCUCCUUCCCUGUCGUGUUCGUCGCCGACCGGGCCGUGGCGCACCGCGUCCUCGUGCAGCUUGGCUCGGCGCGCGCCGCCUCGGGCCUCGUCGACGGCAUCGCGCGCCAGAUGCAUAGCGAAUCAGGGGUCGUCCUCAUCGAGGGGCUCCUGCAUGACGCUGUUUUCCACGUGAUUGCAUGUAUGUGCUUCGGCCAGGGGCUCGACGCCGCCGCCAUCGCAGCAGUCACGUCGCUGCAGAGGCAGUUUCUCAAGGAGGUGGUGGGGUUCCAGGUGUUCGGGUCGAGCCCCAAGGUCAGCAAGCUCCUCUUCUGGCGACGGUACCAGAGGAUGCUGUCCAUGCGCCGGCGGCAGGAGGAGGUGUUCAUCCCUCUGAUACGUGCGUGCCGUGCGCGGCGCAACACCGCCGGCGAGAUCUUUGAAAUGGAUUGCUACGUCGACUCGCUCAUCAGCCUCCGCAUCCCGGAGGAAGAUGGCAGCAGCAGGCACCUGACGGACGGCGAGAUCGUCGCCUUGUGCACCGAACUCUUGUCCGGGCCCGUCGACUCUACGGUAAACAUGUUGCAGUGGGCCAUGGCAAACCUCGUCACACGGCCGGACAUCCAGGCGAAGCUCCGGGCCGAAAUAAACAACGUCGCCGAUGGCCAGGUCCGGGAAGAGGAGCACCUGUCAUACCUCCGGGCGGUUGUCCUGGAGUCACUGAGGCGGCACCCACCGGCGCGCUUCAUCCUGCCGCACGCGCCGUCCGGGGAGAACGGCACGGUGCUGGACGGCUUCACCGUGCCCAAAGAGGUGUCGGUAAAUUUCACGCUGGGCGACAUGGCCAUGGACAGGAAGGUGUGGCCGGACCCCAUGCGGUUCCGGCCGGAGCGGUUCCUGCCCGGUGGCGAGGGGGAGGACUUGGACCUCACGGGGAGCAAGGAGAUCAAAAUGAUGCCGUUCGGUGCCGGUCGCCGGAUGUGCCCUGGCAUCGACGUUUCACUGCUGCACGUCAACCUCCUUGUGGCCACCAUGGUGAGGGCGUUCGAGUGGAGCGAGGUGCCCGGCGAGCCGGUGGACUUCACUGAGACGCUGGAGCUCACCAUAGUCAUGAAGCGCCCGCUCCGUGCCAAGGUCGUGCCAUGCCAUGCUACAUGCUAG
rnacentral:rRNA from 1 species